GUCAGUAUGGCAUAGUGGUUUGAGCAUUAGACUCUGGCUCUGGAGACCUGGGUUCAAUUCCCAUUCAGCCG